AAAACACGGAUGAACGCUAGCGGCAGGCCUAACACAUGCAAGUCGGGCGGUAGGGGACUUCGGUCCCCGAGAGCGGCGCACGGGUGCGUAACGCGUAUGCAACCUGCCCUACACAGGGGAAUAGCCCGUCGAAAGGCGGAUUAAUGCCCCAUGGUCCCGAGAGGUGGCAUCACCUUUAGGGUAAAGAUUUAUCGGUGUAGGAUGGGCAUGCGUGCCAUUAGCUGGACGGUGGGGUAACGGCCCACCGUGGCGACGAUGGCUAGGGGUUCUGAGAGGAAGGCCCCCCACACUGGGACUGAGACACGGCCCAG
rnacentral:rRNA from 1 species